GGCUGCUCACUAAUUACCCAGUAACUAUGGAGGUCCCCCGAAGGACAGACCUGUGCCCUUGAGGCAGGGCCCUGAAGGAGGCCAACUUUAAUGGAGGACCUAGCAAGUGCCAGGCAGCAUUCUGAGCCCUGGAAUCCGGUGAUGAACAUGACAGACAAGAUUCCUGCCCCCAAGGAGCUGCACCUUAAUAAGUCCCGCAAUGAAGGAGACAGAACAUAAACAGAGGAAAAUACACAAGAUGCCAGCUUGUGAGAAGUGCUAGCAAAAAAAGACACAAGUAUGUCCAGAGAGUCUGAGGUGUAUACAGCUCAUUUCACCAAUGAAAAGGCACUGGCAACAUCUCCUAUGCAGAUUAGCCGCAGCCUCCGGUGCCGAUUUAGCAAAGCCAUGAUUGACCAGAUCCGAGGCUCGCUGCCCUGUGGAGCUGCUUCCUAAUUAUGUUACUUCAAGCACCCAUCCCCAGGGUGCAGGUUAAAGUUAACCAGCACACUAAUGUACAUCAAGCAGUGUAGGCGGAGGCGCAGUUCUGAAGACAGUCACCAAUACGCGGCAAAUACCUAUUGUGAGAUCCAUCACCUGCUGGAUGGGCCUGCUCCCUCUACCACUCCCCUCCCACCUGCGCCUGGGUUGGGGAACUGGCCCCUUGCUAACUAGUCUAAUCCCCUUCAGUUGGUCACAAGCCCUGUGGAGUAGUUACUGGCACCCACUAUGUACCAGCCACUGUGCUGGGCACGGAUGGACACACAUCAGCCCCUGCCCGCAUGGUGGAACAGGGAUAUGGGAGAGAAAGACAACAAACAACUCGGUGUACAAAUAGUCAACUACAGUGGAAAAGCAAAGAUUAAAUCCUCAUACCUCUCUGGAAAAGUGGAGGGGACCACAUUCCAGCAUCUGGUGCCUUGUUUGCCCCAAACAUGACUUCAAGUGAAUCGACAUAAUACUCUUCCAGAGGGAAAGCAGAACCAUCUGCAGGGCUGAGGGACCAAGAAACACAGUGAGGAAUUCCACAGGAGGCCCACGCGGAGGGAUGUGACACCCCAGGUGGACUCUAGGGGACGCUCACUUGGAACUUGCAUCACCCGGAACUGUGUCUGCCACUGUGACUUCAGAGCAGCACAGACCUGAGGUGGAUCCAGCAAUGCCCACAACUGUCCAACAAUUUCACUUUUCCGAGGCUCAGUUUCCAUGUGGAAAAUGGACUGGCUCUGAGUAUUAAAUGAGGAUGAAUGUCCAUAUGCCUCACCCCUUUCUUCAUGAAAGGAAGACACCUCUGGGACUCAGACAAAUGGCCAAUAACAUCUAGUCUUUAUUCAGUCCUAACUGCAUGACAAUACAACUAGCGUAACAGUCAUCAACAUAA
ensembl:lncRNA LINC02292 long intergenic non-protein coding RNA 2292